GUCAGCCACAGCUGGGGAGGUGUAACUAGGGCUGUAUAAACAGAAACAAAGCUAUUUAACUCCUAAAUGGCAGUGUAUUGAGCAGUGAGACUCUGAGCCAUGAUCUAUACAACAAAACUGCUUCAUUAACUUACAGUUGUUUUGGUGCUUAGAGUAAUCCUUUAAGGACUGCAGAUAGAAAGACAGCAGGCUGUACUAUUCUCUGUUAUCACAUUGUCAUCUUGGUUGCUCUGCCUUCUAGCAUUUGAAUAAGUCCCAAGGAUAAACACACACUAUGAU